rnacentral:rRNA from 1 species
UACGAAGGGGGCUAGCGUUGCUCGGAAUCACUGGGCGUAAAGCGCACGUAGGCGGCUUCUUAAGUCAGGGGUGAAAUCCUGGAGCUCAACUCCAGAACUGCCUUUGAUACUGAGGAGCUCGAGUCCGGGAGAGGUGAGUGGAACUGCGAGUGUAGAGGUGAAAUUCGUAGAUAUUCGCAAGAACACCAGUGGCGAGAGCGGCUCACUGGCCCGGUACUGACGCUGAGGUGCGAAAGCGUGGGGAGCAAACAGG